GCAGAGGGGAAGAAGCUGUUCCUGAAUCGCUGAGUGUGUGCCGUCAGGCUUCUGUACCUCCUCCCUGAUGGUAACAGUGAGAAGUGGCCAUGCCCCGGGUGCUGGACGCCCUUAAUAAGUGAUGCAGCAUAAGAACACGAUUCUGCCUCUCACUCACACACGAGGGGCAAUUUACCGUGGCUGAUUAACCUACUGGCCUGUGCCUUGGAAUGCGGACAGAAAGCAGAGCCCCUGGGCUAAACACACAUGGUCACAGGGAGAGUGCGCACACUCCACACACAGACAACGUCGGAAGUCGGGAUCGAACCUGGAUCUCUGGAGAUGUAAGGAACUGCUCGACCGGCCAAGGCUUCCGUCAGAUUAUGUGUCGCCAAACAUCCAAGUGAUUCCACUGAACCGGUUUUAAGAGCGAGGAACGGUUUCUUCGGAGCUCCUGGCUGCAAUUCACUGACUUCAUUAAAAAGCGUGUUGAUGAGUGUGUGCCGACAAGAACAUACUGUACAUAUCUGAUUCAAAAGCUGUGGAUGAACCAGGAGAUUCGUAGUCUGCUGAGGGCUAGAUCUGUGGCAUUCAAGUCUGGUGAUCCAGGACUGUACGAGAAGGCCAGGUACAAUUUACGAACGGCUAUCUGAAGAGCAAAAGAGCAAUUCCAAUGGGAGUUAGAGGUGGAAUGAGAUGCACGUUAACUGUGCCAGAGCUUAAAGGCCAUUACUUUCUACAAAGUGAAACCUAACAUCACGAAGAGCAGAGGUGCUCACCCCCAGAUGAGAUCAACACCUUUUAUGCUCACUUUGAAAGGAAGAAUGAAAUGACGGCUAUGAGGGUCCCUGCAGUAUCCGGUGACAGUGUGAUCUCUGUCUCAAGGGCCAACAUCCAAAAAUCUUCCAAAGGGUGAACCAUCGGAGGAAGGAGGAAGGCCCCGAUGGUGUACCUGAACACCUGAGCCAACCAAGUGGUGGCUGUGUUGAAAGACGUUUUCAAUCUCUCAUUGCUACACUUGGAAGUUCAUACCUUCUUCAAAAGGGCAACCAUCAUAUCAAUGCCUGAGAAAAGCAGGGUAAGCUACCUUAACAACUAUUGUUCAGUCGCACUCACAUCUACAGUGAUCAAAUGCUUUGACAGGUUGGUUAUAGCUAGAAUCAACUCCCGCCUGGGCAUGGACCUGGACCUACUGCAAUUUGCCCAUCACCUCAACAGGUCUACAAUGGAUGUGGUCUCAUUGGCUCCUCAUGUGGCCUUGGAUCACCCAGACAAUACUGCUGUUUAUUGACUACAGCUCAGUGUUUAAUACAAUUAUUCCUACUAUUCUGAUCAAAAAGAUCCAAAAUGCAGGCCUCUGUACCUCCCUCUGCAAUUGGAUCCUGGACUUCCUAAAGAAAAGAUCACAGUCUGUGUGGAUCGGAAACAAACAUCUCCAUUCUGCUAAUAAUCGACACUGGCACACCUCAAGAAUGUGGCCCACUGCUCUACUCUCUCUACACCCAUGGCUGUGUGGCCAGGCACAGCUCAAAUGCCAUCUAUAAAUUUGCUGAUAACACAAUUAUUGUUGGCAGAAUUUCAGAUGGUAAUAAGAAGGCGUACAGUAGUGAGAUAGAUCAGUUGGUUGAGUGGUAACACAGCAGCAAUCUUGCACUUAAAGUCAGUAAGACCAAAGAAUUGAUUGUCCUAUGAGGAUUGGUGUGUGUUCCCUUGUCUUACCCUUAUUGUGUAUUGCAAUGUACCUUUGCCGCACAGCAACAAAUUCAUGACAUGUGCCAGUGAUAUUAAACAGUGAGAACCGGGUGAUGGUAAUCAUAAAUAAAAAAAGAGUAGCUGUGAGAAUGACUUUCCUAACAGUGAAAUACAAUGAUCAACAAGCCACAUUAGGCUUGUAUGUGAUAAAAGCAGGAGGGUCAGUGUUGUGGGGCUAUGCUUGGCUGAGACAACUGCAACUUGAUUGGAGAUCCACCCCCGAUUUUCUUGCCAUAUCACCACCAAUAGAGUCAACUGAAAGAGAACUAAGAAAGGGACUGGAUGAUGCCGCAGCGGUGUUCAACCAUUGCAUUGGAAGGCUCAAACAUAUCAAAGGUAAAAUACUGUUAAAUGAAAAAGCCACACCCAAGUUUUAAAAAGCCCUCCAAUUCCUUAAACCAUCCAUGAUCUAGAUCGCAUGGAGGCUGAAAGAAUUCUUUCCAAGUUUGAGUGAGGCCCAUGGGGCAACACCAGAGGUCCCAGUAGCCAAGAAGAACGGGUUCAUUAGGAUUUGGGGUGACUUUAACGUCACCAUCAACUCAGUACUGUAAGUAGAUUAAUGCUUUUUACCCAGGAUAGAGGUUAUCUUUGGAAACCAUUCUGGAGGAAAACACUUCAGCAAGGUGGACUUAGCUGAGGCCUACCUACAGAAGAUGGAAGAAGAGUCCGAAGUGUUUCUCACUACAAAGGGCUUUAUCACAAUAGGUUUAUUUUUGGAGUUGUAUCUCCACCUGCAGCCUGGCAGAAAGCGACAGACUAGGUGCUGCAAGGCUACCUGGAUGACAUCAUUGUUACUGGUAAGAAUGACAAGGAACACAUCCAAAAUCUCAAGACAGUGUUGAAAAGAUUAGAAAAUUAUGGGCUCAGAGAACAAUACAUCAAGUGAGAAUUCAUUAAACCAAGCAUCACUUACUGUGACUGCACCAUUGAUGCACAAGGAUUAAACAAGUGUACUGAGAAACUUCAAGCAGUGCUGGAUGCCCCAAGGCCAAAGGAUGUGUUAUAUUUGUGGUCCUUUUUAUUAUUUGUCAAUUACUAUAUCAGGUUCUUGCCAAACCUGGCUACUGUGCUCCACCCCCUGAACUCAUUACUACAGAUUAGGAAGAAAUGGCAAUGGACAAAGUAGCGUGAGGUAUCUUUCUAAAAGGCAAAGGAAAUGGUGACGUCAGACACCUUGCUCACACAUUGUGAUUCACACCAUCCAGUGAAGCUUGUCCGUGAUGCCUUGCCUUAUGUAUUAGGUGCAGUAAUUUCAUAUGCAAAGAGUGAUGGAAGUGAUGUCCCAUAGCCUUUGCAUCAUGUUCCCUUACUGCUGCAGAGAAAAAGUAAACACAGAAUAACAGAGAGGCCUUGAUUCUGGUUUGGCGUAUAACUUUUCAAUCAGUACCUAUAUGGGAGAGAGUUUACCCUCAUUACUGAUCUUCAACCACUAGUGUCCAUUUUCAACCCACAGAAAGGCGUUCCACUCACGGCAGCAGCACAAAUGCACAGAUGGAUUCAGAAGACACAACUACAGAUCAAAUUCAAGAAGACAACUGAUCAUGGAAAUGCUGAUGGAAAGAAAGGUGUUCAGAGCUGUCAGAACCAACUCCUGCAACCACCUGAGGAGGCCGCAGAGCUUGAGAUUGUUUCACAGCCACGCACCACACCUGCCAAGCAGAGUGAUUCCCCGUGCUGUUAUCCCACAACAGUAAGGAAUCCUUCACAGGGAUUAAAUCUUUAGACUUGAAUGGGACAAUUUAAAAUUUACUAGGCUGUGGAUGUCUGUAUAGUAGUUGUAUUAUAUACAGUAUACAGUACUGUGUAUAUAGCUGAGAUGAAUUCAAUAAUGAGUUGGACGGAGUAUUUAAUAUUUCAGUACUAUUUGAGUAACAUUGUAAAGACAUUGUUUGAUUAAGCAUUCUUUGUUUAUAUAAUCCUCUCACCAGGUCCUUAUGCAAACCUGGUUCAAUAACCAAAUCGACUAACAGGCAUGGGACACAGCAGUGAGAAUGCCACUUUUAUAAACAAUAUAUGUCGAGGAUCGGUAUGAUUUGGGGUUCAACCAAAGAGAAAAGUUUGGAUGUUCCAAUUAAUGGAACCUUGAUUUGAGUGAAUGCUGUGAAAAUACUGCCCAUACACAAUUGUCGGUCAGCAAGGAAUAUCAGAUUGUACACCACAUAAAUUUAUAAAGAAAGUAUAUUUGCCAAUUUCAUCUUUAUCAAACAGUUAAUAGGCAAAAGAAAAUGACCCAUUAGAGUUUAACAGUCCAAUGUGCACAAUGACCAUUGGAGCGCAUACUGGAGUAUUCAGGAUUAUUCAUGUGCCUGUGGUCUGCAUAAAAACACCCCCGUAUUUUCAAUCUCCCCUCAAAGACCAUCUCAAGCAAACAGGCUCUCUCUCUCAGGGGUAUUACCCCUUCCUACUUGGAACUAUUCCUCUGCACAAAGCACGUCUGGCAGCAGGGAUUCUCCUUCGCACGGCAUUCUGUGGCAUCUUCCCUCAUGCCCUGCUCUGAAGCUCCCACCAAAAGACGGCAAACUAGACUGCUGUCCUUCAGAAAACUCUUUCCCACAACUCUCUAGAAUCUUCUCUCACAUCCCACUGUCCUGAUUGGCUGACCUACAUUCCUAAGUUGGACAACGUGUUGAAUCUUAGCUGAAUCCAAAACACGCUUUCCAGCAUGGCACACUGCUUCUUUUAUAGAAAACUGUUAACAUAACCCACCUCACAGCAGAGCAGUGGAAAUCUUAUCCAGAGCAUUACACUUACAUAAUCCAUUAUAGGUUACAUGUAAAAAUAGGUGAAUGGCAUAUAUCAUUAUGCCACCACAGCAUUUGUGCAUGUCUCACUUAAAGUAAAAAUGAAACUAAGUUAGUAAUUCCUGGCUCCAUGUUUUUAUGUUUUGGAGUUACCAACCGUGCACCUUAUAUUAGCCUUUUCCACCCUGCAAAAAAGUCUCGAUCUAUCCACUCGUUCAAUGCCUCUUACCAUUUUGAAUACCUCUAUCAAGUCACCUCUCAUCCUCCUUCACGCCAAAGAGAAAAGUCCUAGCUCAAUCAACUUAUCCUCAUAAGACAUCCUCUCCAAUCCAGGCAGAAUCCUGACAAAUCUCCUCUACACCCUCUCUAAAUCUUCCUCAUCUAUACUAUAAUGAGGCAACCAGAACACGAUACAACAAUCCAAGCAACAGAAUAUCUGUAGAUGCUGGUAAUCAAAGUAAUACAGACAAAAUGCUGGAGGAAAUCAGUAGGCCAGGCAGCAUCUAUGGAAAAGGGUAAACAGUUGACAUUUUGGGCUGAGAUCUUUCAUCAGGACCUGUUGAAAACAUUCUCUACUAUCCACUUACCCCACAAACUUUCAUGUCACAUUUUUGAAAUUAUCUAGAACCCCACUCCCACACUCACUUUAUGUUCGGGGUGGAGUGGGGGGGCGGGGUUUAUAUCCUUCUCUUCCCCAGGUAGAGAAUCUCUACCUUAUAUGAUGCAGACUCACUUAGCAUGGACAUUGGAUUGUAGAAAGAUCUAUCAACAAACUAGUGAAAAAACUCAGCAGGUCGAGCAGCAUCUGUGGUGGGAAAGGAGUUGUCGGCAUUUCAGGUCGAAAUCCUGCCUGAGGAUUGACAGUAGAGAGG